rnacentral:rRNA from 1 species
CACGUAGGGCGCAAGCGUUGUCCGGAAUUAUUGGGCGUAAAGAGCUCGUAGGCGGUCUGUUACGUCUGCUGUGAAAACCCGGGGCGUUAACCCUGGGCUUGCAGUGGAUACGGGCAGACUAGAGGCAGGUAGGGGAGAAUGGAAUUCCCGGUGUAGCGGUGAAAUGCGCAGAUAUCGGGAGGAACACCGGUGGCGAAGGCGGUUCUCUGGGCCUGACCUGACGCUGAGACGCGAAAGCGUGGGGAGCGAACAGG